AACGCGAAGAACCUUACCAGGCCUUGACAUGCAGAGAACUUUCCAGAGAUGGAUUGGUGCCUUCGGGAACUCUGACACAGGUGCUGCAUGGCUGUCGUCAGCUCGUGUCGUGAGAUGUUGGGUUAAGUCCCGCAACGAGCGCAACCCUUGCCUUUAGUUGCCAGCAGUUCGGCUGGGCACUCUAAAGGGACUGCCGGUGUUAAACCGGAGGAAGGUGGGGAUGACGUCAAGUCCUCAUGGCCUUUAUGACCAGGGCUACACACGUACUACAAUGGCCGAUACAAAGGGCAGCGACACUGCGAGGUGAAGCCAAUCCCGUAAAAUCGGUCUCAGUCCGGAUUGGAGUCUGCAACUCGACUCCAUGAAGUUGGAAUCGCUAGUAAUCGUGGAUCAGCAUGCCACGGUGAAUACGUUCCCGGGCCUU
rnacentral:rRNA from 1 species